CAAAUACGAAUUCAAGAGUAUAUUGAUAAUAAGGGUACAAUUCGAUCAUGGUUAAUAUUAGGCAAAAAAUAUGAUCCCUUAAGUUUUGACUAAAUCUCAAUUAAACCUCUAAACUUUAAAAUAAUUCCAUUAUAUCCUUAAAAAUCUAAAACUCAGAAUUAAUUGCACCCUUAAAUGGCACCUCCGUCUAUUUCACUAUCUAUUUCAUUGUGUCCACUUAAGGUGACUAAAUAUUACUUCUAUAUAUUUAAGAAAAUUACAAAAAUAGAAAAAUAUAUAUAUUUUAUUUAUUUUCUAUAAGAAAAAUUGAUCAUCAACACAACCACUACCACCAUUGAUCACCGUUGUCCCCUAUCAAUACAACCAUUAUCACCACCACUAACUACCAUCAUCAGUGCUUCAUCAAUAUAAUCAUCAUCACCAUUAUCAGAGAUGAGCAAAUCACCCACAGGAAAAUUAACUCCCAGCACCACCACCAUCGCCACUGCCAACCCCCACUACAAUUACCACCGCCAAUCCCAUCAACCAAUAACAAAAAAUCAAAUACAGAAAAUCACUGUCACCAUAAAUCAAAUACACAAUAAGAUUGAAAGAGAAAUCAUCAUAGACGAUUUCUCAUAUUGUUAUGUGUUUCUAAGAAAUCCGGUAGUGUUGCCUUCACCAUUUGAGAAAUCAAUUUGUUAAGCAAUAAAGAUUUGACGGCAGAACGACAACAAAUCGUAACCCAUCGAGUCAUGACCUCGAGCUUGUCUUCUCCAUGGAGUCGUGACCCUCUUUCUUCUCCAGUAAAAUUAGCUUGAUUACCUGUAGUAGCCGUGCAGUUGGAGAAGAAACAUGGUUAGCGAUAGUGGAAAGGAAGAGAGAG
rnacentral:lncRNA from 1 species